rnacentral:rRNA from 1 species
CUUAACCCUUGCAGUCGAGCGGUACAGGAAUWAGCUUGCUAUUCGCUGACAGCGGCGGACGGKUGAGUAAUGCCUGGGAAUAUGCCUUAGUGUGGGGGAUAACUAUKGGAAMCGAUAGCUAAUACCGCAUAAGGUCUUCGGACCAAAGAGGGGAUCUUCGGACCUCUCGCGYUAAGAUUAGCCCAGGUGAGAUWAGCUAGUUGUGAGGUAAGAGCUCACCAAGGCGACGAUCUCUAGCUGGUCUGAGAGGAUGAUCAGCCACACUGGAACUGAGACACGGUCCAGACUCCUACGGGAGGCAGCAGUGGGGAAUAUUGCACAAUGGGCGAAAGCCUGAUGCAGCCAUGCCGCGUGUAUGAAGAAGGCUUCGGGUUGUAAAGUACUUUCAGUCGUGAGGAAGGGUGUGUAGUUAAUAGCUGCAUAUCUUGACGUAGCGACAGAAGAAGCACCGGCUAACUCCGUGCCAGCAGCCGCGGUAAUACGGAGGGUGCGAGCGUUAAUCGGAAUUACUGGGCGUAAAGCGCAUGCAGGUGGUUCAUUAAGUCAGAUGUGAAAGCCCG